CAAUAGCGUAUAUUAAAGUUGUUGCAGUUAAAAAGCUCGUAGUUGGAUUUCUGGGAGGGUGCCAAUGUCCGUCAACGUGCGUGUGCAGCGGCGCCCUUCCAUCCUUCUGUUAACGCCUCUGGGCAUUUACUUGCCGGAGGCGGGCUCAGAUAUUUUACCUUGAGAAAAUUAGAGUGUUUCAGGCAGGCUAGGCCGGAAUACAUUAGCAUGGAAUAAUAGAAUAGGACUAUGGUCUCUUUGUUGGUUUGAGGGACUAUGGUAAUGAUUAAUAGGGAUAGUUGGGGGCAUUAGUAUUUAAUUGUCAGAGGUGGAAUUCUCAGAUUUGUUAAAGACUAACUUAUGCGAAAGCAUUUGCCAAGGAUGUUUUCAUUA
rnacentral:rRNA from 1 species